rnacentral:sRNA from 1 species
UCAGCAAAAUUUCGAAACCAUAUUCAGUUCCAAAAUGCAGAUCGCCGUGAAAUUGCUGAUUGUUCUGUUGGCAUUAUUUGCUGUUGUUUCUAGCAAAUGGUACUACACAAGGGCACAAGAAUAUGGCAGAUCCCUAACAUGUUCCUGGUGCACUGGUACUUGGAUAUACGGUAAAUAAUAGGAAAGCUACUGUUGAGCUAAUGAAGUUGAAAUGAAGAUGCUCCCGAUGUCUAAUUAAAAAGUAAAAUACUUUUGACUUGAGAAUUUUCUUUUCUUUAUUAAAAUCAAUGGAAAUGAGACCGGCAAUACUCGGACGACUUUUAAUUGGAGUCAGGACCUUGCAAUCAAUGCGAGGUACUUUCUAAGGUUUCGUCAAAAGAUCAUAAGCUGCAUGUUCAACAAAUAAAUAAAUAUUUUUCCUGAAUAUAAUAAACAUACUCAUUAAAUUGCCACAGUGCUAGGACCAUCUCUUAUCUGCUAAGUGCAGCUCUUAUCUAGCUCCUAUAUAAAUCAGCAAAAUUUUAAAACCAUAUUCAGUUCCAAAAUGCAGCUCGUCGUAAAAUUGCUGAUUGUCCUUUUGGCAUUAUUUGCUGCUGCUUCUAGCAAAUUGAUCUACCGAAGGCAAAAUGCUUGCCAAAACUGUGGUACCUGGUCCAAUCAUCCAUGGUAAUAGGGUAGCGGUAAAUAGGAAAGCUACCAUUGACCCAAUGAAGUUCAAAUGUAGAUGUUCCCGAUGUCUUUUUAAAAAGUAAAAUACUUUUGACUUAAGAAGUU